CAAAGGGAUUACCGGUGGCGGAUGNGCAUGCGGCGCAUUAGCUAGUCGGCGGGGUAACGGCCCACCGAGGCGACGAUGCGUAGGGGUUCUGAGAGGAAGGUCCCCCACACUGGUACUGAGACACGGACCAGACUCCUACGGGAGGCAGCAGUGAGGAAUAUUGGUCAAUGGGCGCGAGCCUGAACCAGCCAAGUCGCGUGAGGGAUGACGGUCCUACGGAUUGUAAACCUCUUUUGCCGGGGAGCAAGCGUGCGUUCGUGAACGCGCGUCGAGAGUACCCGGAGAAAAAGCAUCGGCUAACUCCGUGCCAGCAGCCGCGGUAAUACGGAGGAUGCGAGCGUUAUCCGGAUUUAUUGGGUUUAAAGGGUGCGUAGGCGGGAUGCCAAGUCAGCGGUAAAAAUGCGGUGCUCAACGCCGUCGAGCCGUUGAAACUGGCGUUCUUGAGUGGGCGAGAAGUAUGCGGAAUGCGUGGUGUAGCGGUGAAAUGCAUAGAUAUCACGCAGAACUCCGAUUGCGAAGGCAGCAUACCGGCGCCCUACUGACGCUGAGGCACGAAAGCGUGGGUAUCGAACAGGAUUAGAUACCCUGGUAGUCCACGCAGUAAACGAUGAAUGCUAACUGUCCGGCUCGAAUGAGCGCUGG
rnacentral:rRNA from 1 species